UUCCCACACACUUUCCCUGGACCAUCUAUCAAUCUUCAUUUCUCAUUCCAAAGCUCUGUUUACAUUCAAUUUCAUUCCCUCACUUUACUUUGUGCUCUUUUCAUCCCAUUCCCAAAUUCACUUUUUCUAUUAAAACAAUAACUCUCAUCAUCCCAACCUCCACUUUGUUUCUCCCCUAAUCUCCCUUUUCCUUUUGUUAUUUAUAAAAAGAUUCUAUCUUUACAAAAACCCUUUGUUUUUCUUGUAUUUUUACAUAUAAAAUCAUACUCUACGAGCAUUAAAUUCAUCAAGCUUUCGUCUUUCUUGAUAUUUCUUAAAAAACAAAGAAAACCCCAAUGGGUAACACCGGCAGUAGCAGCAUAAACAGCCGCCGGCGACUCAUUAGUCNUUUGAGUAAAGUUAGAUGAAAAGUAGGUAUAGUGGUGGGAACCAUUUAUAUUUAAUAAUAGAUUUGAGAUAGUAGAGGAAAUUAGUGGGUGUAAUAGUGUUUAUAUUAUUAUAGAAUGGAGAUAGUGGAAGAAAGUAGUUGGUGUAAUGAUUUUUUAUAUUAUAAAAGUUUACUACUUUUGGGAUGUAUACAAUUGAUGGGACGUCCCAAAAAAGAAACUGUAUACUCCCUCCGUCCCAUUUUAAUUGACACUUAUUCCUUUUUGGGACGUCCCAAAAAGAAUGAACCUAUUAAACUUACUAUUUUUGAACACUACUUUUCACUAUUACACCCACUACUUUCUUCCACUAUCUCUAUUCUAUAAUAAUAUAAACACUAUUACACCCACUACUUUCCUCCACUAUCUCAAAUCUAUUAUUAAAAUUUUGAUGGGUCCCACCACUUUACCAACUUUUCAACCUUUUUACUACCUUUUUCUUAAUCUCCGUGAAAGUCAAAGCAGUUCAAUCUUUUCGGGACGGAGGGAGUACAAUUCAUUGGGACGGAGGUAGUAAUAUAAAAUGGAACAUCACAAAAGUCUUUUCCGCGAUGGAAUCAAAAAUUUAAAAUAACUGUGGCUAAAAUGAAAUGUUCUUAAUUUUUGGCCGCUGGCCGGCUUAAAUCAGAAAUUCUACUGCUUUUUAACUGAAAUUUGAGGUUUGAAAUAAAAUUCUACUAGAAUAUAUCUUCUGUAAUCAUGUAAAACUUGAGUUUUGUUAUUUUCUACCAAAUUAUUCAAUUUGUUUAUGAUAUUAUUCAUUUUGUGCAUAUUAAUUUUUUUGCCAUUCGGUAUUUUUCGAGUCGAACUCGAGUGCAUCGGAAUGGAGGUUUCUGCCUAUUAAUUCGUGUCCAAAAUGCCCGUUUCUAUAUAUUCUCUGGAGAGCAGAACGAACAAGCACUCCUACUUCUGCAGAUGAGAAGAUCCGUUGAAAUUUAAUGUCUACUAGAUUAUUCAACAAGUAUCAUCUUCGAGUUGAAUCCACACAAAUAAUUCGAUAUCAGUACCAUAUACCUUUUAAGUCCAUAUGAUCCAUUAUCACUGUGUAAAAAAAUGUUAACAGAACAAGGCUUUUUGAUGCUGGAGACAUAAGGAUACCAUAACAUCUACUACAUCCUAUCUGCAACUGGGAUUUAAUUACUGCAUGCAUGCUGAAAGAGUAAAAACAAAGAGGAAAUGAAACAAAUACGGAAAGAAAAAAAAAUCUGAUUUCCCCCUUCGGCAAUAUAAUUCAUCUUCAACCUAAGUUGCACAAAUUUAUCUUACAAGGUCUGUGUACAAUUUACUUUUCCAAACUCUACAUAUGAGCUAAUCAGUUAUUAGUGACUGCUUGUGUUAUGGUCUGUGUAAACCCAUAAUUUCGUAAGAGUAAACAAACAUAACCAUCCUGUUAGAAAUAGUUCUAAUAAUAUUCCCACACACUUUCCCUGGACCAUCUAUCAAUCUUCAUUUCUCAUUCCAAAGCUCUGUUUACAUUCAAUUUCAUUCCCUCACUUUACUUUGUGCUCUUUUCAUCCCAUUCCCAAAUUCACUUUUUCUAUUAAAACAAUAACUCUCAUCAUCCCAACCUCCACUUUGUUUCUCCCCUAAUCUCCCUUUUCCUUUUGUUAUUUAUAAAAAGAUUCUAUCUUUACAAAAACCCUUUGUUUUUCUUGUAUUUUUACAUAUAAAAUCAUACUCUACGAGCAUUAAAUUCAUCAAGCUUUCGUCUUUCUUG
rnacentral:lncRNA from 1 species